AAAAAAGUAAAAAUUAUAUUAAAAAUGUUAAAUUACUAUAAAAAAUGUACAGUACAUUGCAAGUUUUAAUAACAAUAAAAAAAAAAUAGUUAGUAUAAAAUGAUCUCACCGAUUCAACCAGAUCAGGGAGUGCAUAUGUUGUAUAUAUCAAUAAACCCGUUUUAAUUCUCCCUUGUGCUUCUCUGCCCGUUUGACGAAAGAUAGUGUAAGAAUACCUGCAUUUCCUCUCCACAUCCCUCUAUCGUUUCCCACAACCACCGCAUCCACAACAGCACUAACGCCAUCGACAACGACUGAGUACCAACGCCAUCCUCUGCUCUGUCAGCUCUGUCACCGUUCUUACAUCUAAACAGCAAAGAAAACCUGUAAAAUCUCCAACACAAAAUCCCUCUUAUGGCGCCACUCCAAAGCUACCACCCCCCGCCGCUGUCAUCUUUUUGAAUAGCAAAUCGAAAAUUCUAGUCAAGUACAUCCACGCUUACCUUGUCAUUUUUGGGAAAGAAAAGGGUGCAUUUAUUUUAUAAAAGAAAAAAAACAUAUAUACUUGCAUAUCUUGUCACGGACAAGUGAGAAAACAGCAGUCCUCGAAUCACAAUAACAAUUCAGACAACAAUAAACAUGAGCCUACUGUAAUAAUUGCAAUUAUUUGAACGGAGAGUUCAAUUAGCAACAAGAAACAUGAUCCCAAAAUUCUUGGGCCAAAUUGAACUUUAUGCCUAAAGUUCAAACACCAGUUGCUGCCAUAAAUAAUAAUAGUAAUAAUAAAAUAGGAACACCGAAACGGAGCAGCUAGCAGCAUUAAACCCAUGAUAAAGUAGCUUUCAAAUGAAAUUACGUAAAAAAGCAAGCAAACCCUAGAAUAGCAAGGGAGAGAGUGAUUAGAGACCUGGUCGGG
rnacentral:misc_RNA from 1 species